CUGCAUUGCUAUUCCUAUCUGUGGCCAAACCAGCCACUUAAAGUGUAACCCACCCUGAAUGUAAUAUGAUGUAAAGUGUAUCCCUGUGUACUGCUUGGUAUCUCCUAAGGCAGGAGAUGGCUAUCUGUAACCCAACCCCCUCCUGCCUGGGACUAAGGGAAGUGUAUGGUGUGGAAUGCAGACCCCCCUGCGGAGGUCUGUGCUUAAAGGAAG
rnacentral:lncRNA from 1 species